UACAGAGGUCCCAAGCGUUGUUCGGAUUCACUGGGCGUAAAGGGUGCGUAGGUGGCUUGGUAAGUUUGAUGUGAAAUCUCCGGGCUUAACCCGGAAAUGGCAUUGAAUACUACUGUGCUGGAGGUUUGGAGGGGGGACUGGAAUUCUCGGUGUAGCAGUGAAAUGCGUAGAUAUCGAGAGGAACACCAGUGGCGAGGCGAGUCCCUGGACAACACCUGGACACUGAGGCACGAAAGCUAGGGGAGCAAACAGG
rnacentral:rRNA from 1 species